AGGGAGGAAUGAACAAGAGCAAGCCCAGUGGGAGAGAUGACUGACCAGGAAUAUCGUGGGGAGAAAGGGGAGGCUCCCUCCUGCUAACACGGCUUCUCUGGUCAGUCCUUGGAGAUUCAUAGGACCAAAGGGUUUCAAGGGAGUGCUAAGAGACCUUAAGCAUCAGGAUCAAGUCCAGACCUCUCAAUGGACAGAGAAGAUGCUAGGUGACCAUUUUUCAGGAAUAUUAAGAAGGCUUCACUGUCAUAGUGGAAAGAGUGACUACUUCAAAUCCCAGCUUUGCUGAUCACUAGCUAUGAGAUCUCAGUAACAUCAACAUCAUCAUCAUCCUUCAAUGUUUCUUCAAUGGAUAUGAUCUGUUCCAUAGGAGGUAGGUUCAUUUUUGAAACUAGCAAUUGUUUUUCCACUCUAAUGGUUUGCCUAUUAGGUUGUUUGUUUUUAAGAAUCAGUUGCUAGUUUUAUUUACCAAUGCAAUGUUUUGUUUUUGUUUUUUGCUUUCAAUAUUAUAAGCUUUCUUAUUUUAAUUUUUUAAAUUUAAUUUCUCUUUUGGUGUUUACUUGGAAGAGCUGAUUGAUGCUCUUCUGUUUUUUUUUUUUUAGUUGAAUAUCCAAUCCAUUGAUCUUUCUUUAUCUUUUUGCUAAUGAAAAUGUUUUCAGAUAAAAAAAAAAUUCCCCUAAGGAUUACUUCAGUUGAAUAUUCAAAGUUUUAGGAAAAUAUGUAAUUGUCAUUUUCUUUAUGAAGUUAUCAAAUGGUUCAGUGAUUCAUUCUUUAGCCUAUCUGUUAUUUAGGAUUAAUUUAUUUAUCUCCAAUUAUUUUUAAUCCUCUCUUCAAAGAACUUUCAUUGGAUAUAACUUUAUUGUUUAUGGUCAGCAAAUUAUGGGCUU
rnacentral:lncRNA from 1 species